CGUUGUAACGGGCAACGGAGAAUAAGGGUUUGACUCCGGAGAGGGAGCCUGAGAAACGGCUACCACUUCUAAGGAAGGCAGCAGGCGCGCAAAUUACCCAUUCUCGGCACGAGGAGGUAGUGACGAAAAAUACCAAGCUGGGAUCCAUUGGGUUCCGGCAUUGGAAUGAGAACAAUAUAAAUCUUUUAACGAGGAUCUAGUGGAGGGCAAGUCUGGUGCCAGCAGCCGCGGUAAUUCCAGCUCCGCAAGUGUAUAUCUAUGUUGCUGCGGUUAAAAAGCUCGUAGUUGGAUCUGCGUGUUUAGCGUCCGGUUCGACUUUUGGUCGUUACUGGAACGCGACACAGAUGUGCUGGUUUGCCGUUGAUGCUCUUAACCGGGUGUCAGUGGCGGCUAGCGAGUUUACUUUGAAAAAAUUAGAGUGCUCAAAACAGGCGUUUCGCCUGAAUAUUUCUGCAUGGAAUAAUAGAAUAGGACUUCGAUUCUAUUCUGUUGGUUUUCGGAAUGCGAAGUAAUGAUUAAGAGGGACAGACGGGGGCAUUCGUACUGCGACGUUAGAGGUGAAAUUCUUGGAUCGUCGCAAGACGUACUACUGCGAAGGCAUUUGCCAAGAAUGUUUUCAUUAAUCAAGAACGAAAGUUAUGGGUUCGAAGGCGAUCAGAUACCGCCCUAGUCAUAACCGUAAACGAUUCAAACUGGGCGCCCGACGGUGUUUUUAUUGACCCGUCGGGAACCCUCCCGGAAACGAAAGUGUUCGUGUUCCGGGGGAAAUAUGUCUGCAAAGAGGAAACUUAAAGGAAUUGACGGAAGGGCACCACCAGGGGUGGAGCCUGCGGCUUAAUUUGACCCAACACGGGGAAACUCACCCGGCCCGGACACCGUAAGGAUUGACAGAUUGAGAGCUCUUUCUUGAUUCGGUGGGUGGUGGUGCAUGGCCGUUCUUAGUUGGUGGAGUGAUUUGUCUGGUUUAUUCCGAUAACGAACGAGACUCUGGCCUGCUAACUAGUGUUCACAUCUUUACGUGUGCUUCGCUUCUUAGAGGGACAGGCGGCUUCCAGCCGCAUGAAGAAGAGCAAUAACAGGUCUGUGAUGCCCUUAGAUGUCCGGGGCUGCACGCGCGCUACACUGAAAGAAUCAGCGUGUACGUUACCUGGCUCGAAAGAGUCGGGUAAUCCGGUGAAAAUCUUUCGUGAUUGGGAUCGGGACUUGCAAUUAUUUCCCUUGAACGAGGAAUCCCUAGUAAGUGCGGGUCAUCAGCUCGCGCUGAUUACGUCCCUGCCCUUUGUACACACCGCCCGUCGCUGCCCGGAACUGAGCCGUUUCGAGAAAAAUGGGGACUGUCUACUUGAGGUCUUCCCGGACUUUUUGUAAAUGGAAACCGCUUUAAUCGCAGCGGCUUGAACCGGGCAAAAGUCGUAACAAGGUU
rnacentral:rRNA from 1 species